rnacentral:rRNA from 1 species
UACGAAGGGGGCUAGCGUUGCUCGGAAUCACUGGGCGUAAAGCGCGCGUAGGCGGAUCGUUAAGUCGGGGGUGAAAUCCUGGAGCUCAACUCCAGAACUGCCUUUGAUACUGGCGAUCUUGAGUCCGGGAGAGGUGAGUGGAACUCCGAGUGUAGAGGUGAAAUUCGUAGAUAUUCGGAAGAACACCAGUGGCGAAGGCGGCUCACUGGCCCGGUACUGACGCUGAGGUGCGAAAGCGUGGGGAGCAAACAGG